CCUGCCCCUAGAGGCGUGGCAGGUGUGACUGCUGUGUCACAUGUGCGUCAGUAGAUGGCAGAGAAGAGAGGGGCUGCAUCUACUCUCUGGUUCUGACCUAUGAACACCUGAAUGGAUUAGUGGCCUAACAUU